UACGUAGGGGGCAAGCGUUGUCCGGAUUUAUUGGGCGUAAAGAGCGUGUAGGCGGCCAUGUAGGUCCGUUGUGAAACUCGAGGCUCAACCUCGAGACGCCGAUGGAAACCAUGUGGCUAGAGUCCGGAAGAGGAGAGUGGAAUUCCUGGUGUAGCGGUGAAAUGCGCAGAUAUCAAGGAAGACACCCGUGGCUAAGGCGGCUCUCUAGUACGGUACUGACGCUGAGACGCGAAAGCGUGGGGAGCGAACAGG
rnacentral:rRNA from 1 species